UCCGAAUUAGUUUAGUGGCUAUGACGGCGCCUUGUCAUCUCAGGAUGCACUUCUAUGUUCUCCGCGUUUAUACGGCGCAGACCCGGGUUCAAUUCCCGGAUUCGGAG